rnacentral:piRNA from 1 species
UGGGAUUGAUGGAUCAGAUGAUGGGUCUGU